rnacentral:rRNA from 1 species
GAUGAACGCUGGCGGCGUGCCUAACACAUGCAAGUCGAGCGAUUCUCUUCGGAGAAGAGCGGCGGACGGGUGAGUAACGCGUGGGUAACCUGCCCUGUACACACGGAUGACAUACCGAAAGGUAUGCUAAAUACGAGAUAAUAUGCUUUUAUCGCAUGGUAGAAGUAUCAAAGCUCCGGCGGUACAGGAUGGACCCGCGUCUGAUUAGCUAGUUGGUAAGUACGGCUUACCAAGGCGACGAUCAGUAGCCGACCUGAGACGGUGAUCGGCCACAUUGGGAACUGAGACACGGGUCCAAACUCCUACGGGAGGCAGCAGUGGGAAUAUUGCACAAUGGGCGAAAGCCUGAUGCAGCAACGCCGCGUGAGCGAUGAAGGCCUUCGGGUCGUAAA